CAUAUUCUACAGCUUUUCUGACCUAUUGACAAUGGAAGCCCAGGCUGCGAGCCCAUUUCCAGGGAGAGCAGACAUGAAGGACGCUGCUUGGAAUGCUGAAAUAAACAGCCAUGCCCGGAAUGCCCUCACCUUGGGAUUCCU